rnacentral:rRNA from 1 species
UAACUUACAAGGGUAUUGUAAUAAGGUUUUAAUUGAAUGCUAAAAGAAUGGAAUUACAGGGAAAAGUUUUUUUAAAUUUAAUAAUUGAAGUUAUUUUAAUUUGUGAAGAAACAAUUAUAUAAAUUAAAGACAAGAAGACCCUAAGAAUUUAAGAAUUUUUAUUAAUAUAUUAUAUGUAUAUAUAUAUAAAUAAAAUUCUCAUUUGGGGGGACUCAAAAAAAUAUUAAAAUUUUUUUUUAAAAAAAAGACCCCCUAUUAAUGAUAAUAUGAAAAAAAAACUCUCGGGAGAACAGCGUAAUAAUUUUUUAUAAAACUUAUAUACAAAAAACUUUGCGACCCCCAUGUUGGAUUAUGAGACUUUUUUAAUGAAGAUGUUGAAAAAAAAAGUUUGUUCAACUUUUAAAUUCCUCCAAGAUCUGAGAUUAAACCAACGAAAAUGAGGA